rnacentral:rRNA from 1 species
UACGGAGGGGGCUAGCGUUGUCCGAAGUUACUGGGCGUAAAGCGCGCGUAGGCGGGUUGGUAAGUCCGCUGUGAAAGCCCGGAGCUCAACUCCGGAGGGUCGGUGGAUACUGCCAGUCUUGAAGGUGCUAGGGGGAGAUGGAAUUACCGGUGUAGCGGUGAAAUGCGUAGAUAUCGGUAGGAACACCAGUGGCGAAGGCGGUCUCCUGGGGCAUUCUUGACGCUGAGGCGCGAAAGCUGGGGGAGCGAACAGG